rnacentral:rRNA from 1 species
AACCUUUACACUGCACGACAGUGCGAUAGGGGGACUCCGAGUGCGAGGGCAUAUAGUCCUCGCUUUUCUGUACCGUAAGGUGGUACAAGAAUAAGGGCUGGGCAAGACCGGUGCCAGCCGCCGCGGUAAUACCGGCAGCCCGAGUGAUGGCCGCUAUUAUUGGGCCUAAAGCGUCCGUAGCCGGCCAGACAAGUCCGUUGGGAAAUCGACGCGCUCAACGCGUCGGCGUCCGGCGGAAACUGUCUGGCUUGGGGCCGGAAGACUCGAGGGGUACGUCCGGGGUAGGAGUGAAAUCCCGUAAUCCUGGACGGACCACCGGUGGCGAAAGCGCCUCGAGAAGACGGACCCGACGGUGAGGGACGAAAGCUAGGGUCUCGAACCGGAUUAGAUACCCGGGUAGUCCUAGCCGUAAACGAUGCUCGCUAGGUGUGCCGCAGGCUACGAGCCUGCGCUGUGCCGUAGGGAAGCCGUGAAGCGAGCCGCCUGGGAAGUACGUCUGCAAGGAUGAAACUUAAAGGAAUUGGCGGGGGAGCAC